rnacentral:tRNA from 1 species
GGAGGGGUUCCCGAGCGGCCAAAGGGGACGGGCUGUAAACCCGUUACGUUAACGUUUCGGAGGUUCGAAUCCUUCCCCCUCCACCA